rnacentral:rRNA from 2 species
CUGGUGUCAGCCGCCGCGGUAAUACCAGCACCCCGAGUGGUCGGGACGAUUAUUGGGCCUAAAGCAUCCGUAGCCGGCCUUACAAGUCCUCCGUUAAAUCCAGCUGCUUAACAGAUGGGCUGCGGAGGAUACUAUAAGACUAGGAGGCAGGAGAGGCAAGCGGUACUCAAUGGGUAGGGGUAAAAUCCGUUGAUCCAUUGAAGACCACCAGUGGCGAAGGCGGCUUGCCAGAAUGCGCUCGACGGUGAGGGAUGAAAGCUGGGGGAGCAAACCGGAUUAGAUACCCGGGUAGUCCCAGCUGUAAACGAUGCAGACUCGGUGAUGGACUAGCUUUAUGCUGGUCCAGUGCCGCAGGGAAGCCGUUAAGUCUGCCGCCUGGGUAGUACGGUCGCAAGACUGAAACUUAAAG